CGGUAUUACCGUGAACGGUAUGAUAUAGCCCAGCCCUACUGGGAAACCAUUUCAACUGUAAGCUGCAAGGCAAAGAUGGUGCUGAAAGACGAUGCUUCUGCAUCUGAGACUUUUGACAAAGUUGUAGAAAAGUACUCUCAAGACCUUGAUCAUCUUGAGUCAUGUGUGUCAUUCAUUUCUAAUCCCUUAAUGAACGUGGACACAACAAGCAUUGCUGAGCAACUAAGUGCAAUGUUCAGCUUUAUGCUGGACUGGUAGAAAUUGAAAUUGUAACACAGCAAAAUGACCUCCACCUCAAAGCCAAACUUUGGGUGCCUUGUUGACACAGAAAAGUACAGCGGUGUACGCACAGCACCUAUGAUGGUUGCCAGCCUGUAUGGUUCAACCUGUCUUUGUGAAUCAGCCUUUUCUGACAUGAACUUCAUCAAGAACAAGCACAGAACACGCCUCCCUGAUGCACUUCUGCAAGACUCAGAGCUGCAGUGUCAACUUAUACCCCAGACUGCAACACACUGGUGAACAGCAGGCAAUGCCAGUGGCAACAUGGCAGUGUCAUGGCAAAGUUGAAUUUAAUUAUUGAAAACAAUCCGUGUUCGUUGAAUGUAACAUUGAUUUAAAAAACAAAGAUUCUGCAGAUUUUGUGACAAGUUCAGUAAAAUCUGAAAGUUGA